CGGGUGAGCGGGCACGCACACGGACAGUCUAGGGUGCCUCGAUGCCCUCCUCGCCCACCGCUCCCCGUGAAAGCGCGCGUCCCUCGCCCUCGCGCGCUUUCACCCUCUCAUACAGCAUACGGCCAAUGAGAGUGUUUUUAGAAGCGAAAGCUUCAUUACGCUUCCUCUGGCAGCCGUCGGCGACUCAACAAUCUUCACCUUGAGAGCUAGAGGUCAAACCACAAGAGAGCAUUAAGGCGCGUUUAUAGUCCGACGUAAUCGGCACGCGGGCGAGCGUCAUGAGACGCCGGGCAAUGCCCGGCGUCUCAUGACGUCAAGGCUCGCCGAUUGACUGACUAUAUGGUGAAACUUAGCGAAAGCGCCAGUGCGACUCGGACCUUCGAGACGGACUUCGUAAACAAUCCGUUUGGAUAUGUGUGCGACGUGUGUGAAAGACUGCGGCACAUGAAAGACUUGACGCCGGUAUACCUCCUCCAAAUACAGGCAUGGUGCAGCAAAUGGUGCAUGUCCCUCAACGUCAGUUCUUUCAUUCGCUACCCACCGGCAACCAAAUCAUUCCAGCGCAUCGUUUCUCCCGCCAUACGCAUCACAUUGCUGUGUAUCUACCACGCGCCCAUUCCACCACGUAUCAGCGUUCUUUUUUUCUGCACACAGCCUGCUGAAUGGAAUACCGUACUUCCUUCUGACAUCGCCCUCAUCACCAACAUUUCCCGUUUCAAAGCUGCUAUUGAAGACCAUCUUUCAAGUCACGCCACCCAACCUGUUCCGCCAUUUUUCUACGUGCUCACCCCUCACGUAAUGUCCCGUUCUGGGACCUUUGAGGUAUCAUGAAUAAAUAAAUAAAUGGAUAAAUGACGCAUACGAUACUGUAAUCAAUUAUGGAUUGACACAAAUUACGCGAACGAAGGAACAGAAAUUUUUGGGAGUCUGGUUCCAUGAAAACAUGACCUGGAAUACACACAUAUUACAUGUGACCUCAAACGUUGCCAAAGCCAUAGGUUGCAUUCGGAUAAUUAAUUCUUUAAUACCGCUGUGGCUUAAGAGAAACCUUUAUUACUUAUUAGUCUAUUCAAAACUUGCAUACUGUACUUUAGUCUCGGGGACAUUUACUGACUGCAACUACAAUAAAUAAGACCUGCAAAAAAAAAAGGGUACUGCGUCUAUUCGAAAAUUAUAUAGGAGACAUACGCGAAUUACGUACGCCGGAAUAAUUCAUUAAACGUAACAUGUUAAAAGCCAAUCAGAUAUCUCUAUUUAAGCUAAUGCAGCAUAUACACAAUAGAAAUGCUUUUAAAGAAUACACUGCUACCGAAAGUGACAGAUAUAAAUUGAGAAAAGUUGACCGUCGACUACCUAAAGUAAGGACAAAUUAUUAAAAGCAGACCGUGCAUUAUUAAAUUACGUCUUUCCUGAAUAAAUAUGAAGACGGUUAGCUGGAGUGAUUCAGCAAAAAAUUAAAGCGUAUGUUCAAGAUUCAUCUCAUAACAAACUGAAGUCGGAAUGUGACCAUCUCCAAGCUAGAAAAAUGUACUAAUUACUACUGUGUUCCAUAACACUUUAAAUGUGUAAUUAAUGUAAAUAAGUGACAUUUACAAUUCCUCCUGUUACUUCAGUUUGCUUUAGGAUAUGGUACUGUAAUAUACCAUUGUUGUAGCACUUGGAUUUUCUGCAAUAUUGAGUGUAUAAUAUACUCCUUUAUUGCUAAGAAAUUUAGAAAUUUUCUUUGUGUAACUCUACACAUGUGAAGAAAGGUAAAUAUUUUUUCAUCACUGUGAUCAUCACUUUAAUUUUUGCAUCAUUUUUUGUUUGUGUGUAGCUCUGGACGUUUUAUUUGUGAUUUAUUUCUUGUAUUGCACUUGUUGCGAACUGUGCAGGGCAGAGGCCACCGUCAGGUGAUUGAAGCCUUUAGCCUCUGUCUCCUCAGGCAAGACCUGAAAUAAAAAUGAAAUUGAAAAUUGUAUAGUGAUUGACCCCACUAUUGCAUUUUCUUUGGAUAUCACAGGUUCUAUACUCGUAGUAUGUUGUACGCGUGUAGCUCAUGUCUAGCGUUGUUAUAUGUUGUGAUGUGCCUUGUUGUGUAGAUAUAAAUGAAUGUAUGUGCGUGCUUUCAGACUCCAUUGU